CAAAGCAUUUUAAUUAAAUAUAUUCGAAUUUUUCUCAACUCUUUAUCGUUUUAUAUUUUUUGCACUUUGUAACCAAUAUUUUGUCGACAGUGGACUCAAUAAGCGAGAAAUUUCGCUUGCUCAAGUUCAUAUGUGCAAAGUUAGCGAUUCAAAACUAAAGUGCAUUUCAAAUUCAUAACUUUCAUCUCGGCUCGAUAUUAUCUUUUUAAACUGUUAUCAUAUAUUAUAACAAGCUUUGGCUGCAGAUGGUGAUGAUAAAUCUCCAAACAACAGUCAAUAAAACUUCCGAGCUGGCUUGACGCUCUACCUGCAUACAUACACACGUCGAAACAUUAUUUUGUGAAAAAGUUCCUGAGUAGUUCCGGACGGCAUCCACCCAAAAUGACAAAUUAUAUACAUUCCAUUGGACUUCUUUCAGCAUGGAAGUACACACAGUAAAGCUAGACAGACUGCUUUGCCCUGGUGCUGUGCAUUCAUCCCUUAAAUCGUCUUCACCAACAGCUUUGCAAAACGUCACACCAAAGAAGACAAUGCCCAAAAAUUCGGUUAACGAGCCUCUAAUCGAAAACCGUAAUAAACCCCAAAAGCAGCAUGAAGCUUUCGAUAGCCACAGUACAGAUUGCGGAAGCCCCAUUUCAGAUCUGGACCAAGAGUUCAGUGAGCCUAGAAAUUUUAGCACGACAGGAGGCAUUAGCAGUCUGGGGAUAUCUGACGGCUCGCUAAGUGGUGCCUCUUCAACUACAUCAGCCACUCUCGGACCCAAAAUUAUAGAAAAUGGUGUCACGAUCGACUCUGACAGUACAACAGAAGGCUUGACCAUUGUAUCCGCCGCGGUCCACAUAAAAAAACGUAUCUCAAGCAACCGAACGCCGACACGCAAAGCGCUUCGGAUCAAAUUCUACCGUAACGGGGAUCGGUUUUACCCAGGUAUAACAAUCCCUGUGUCCAACGAACGGUAUAGAUCAUUUGAAAGUCUCUACGAGGAUCUUACCCGUUUGCUGGAAGAGAAUGUAAAGAUACCAGGUGCAGUGCGCGCCAUUUACAGCAUGUGCGGAAAAAAGAUUACCGCCCUCGAUGAGUUGGAAGAUGGUCAGAGCUACGUUUGUUCAUGCAAUAACGAAAAUUUCAAAAAAGUGGAAUAUAACAUAAACUCCCAGGCUUUGGCUAAUUUGACGUUGGCCAACCAUAGUCGCUGUAACAACCAGCGUUUGACUAAAUAUUAUCGACCCGUUUCUCCCCUGAAAAACGGAUCACUCGCAACUAGCAAUGGGUUAUUCACUGGCUGUAGCGGAGGAGCAUCCAACGUGAGUCCGUCAAAUGCGUCCCGAUUUAUCGAACGUUACACUGUCGUUUAUCCUCGUAUUGUGACACUGAUACGUAGUGGAACAAAGCCACGCCGUAUUAUGCGUUUGCUGUUAAAUAAGCGUAACAGCCCCAGCUUUGAUCACGUACUGACAGCCAUUACACAAGUUGUUCGUCUAGAUACGGGUUAUGUGAGAAAAGUAUUCAGUCUUUCAGGUACAUCAGUAGUUAAGCUCGUUGAUUUUUUUGGCCCGGAUGAUGUUUUCUUUGCAUAUGGCACAGAACGAAUUAACACUGCAGAAGAUUUUAAAUUAGAGGUAGAGGAGCAGCGAGCUAUUAAUGCCAUACGCAAGACUCUGCGUACAGCGGGGACUACGUGCAAGGGACCAAAGCCCAAGAUGCCUAUCAAAAGCAAAAAAGUUUUUCCGCUAGUUGAUGCCGAUGCAUUGAAAGCUGCUCCUGCAACCGAGCACGAUAAGCAGGCGGCGUUACUUAAGAGCUCUGGCAUAGAGAUAGGUGACUUGCCAGCUGUCAUUGGUGACAGUUAUACAUUGGGACAAAUUAUCGGCGAUGGCAACUUUGCUAUUGUCCUGAAAAUCAAGCACCGUCGAACGGGAGAUUUUUUUGCACUUAAAAUAAUAGAUAAAAGCAAAUGUAAAGGUAAGGAACACUAUAUGGAUGCUGAAGUUCGAGUAAUGAAGAAGUUAGAUCAUCCUCAUAUAAUUUCUCUGAUAAUGGAUGUUGACCAACUUACAAAUAUGUAUCUGGUUUUGCAGUAUGUAAGUGGUGGCGAUCUGUUUGAUGCAAUAACUCAGGUAACGCGUUUUUCGGAAAGUCAGUCGCGCAUUAUGAUUAGGCAUUUGGGGUCAGCCAUGUCUUACCUACAUUCCAUGGGCAUUGUGCACAGAGAUAUUAAGCCGGAAAAUCUCCUGGUGGAACUGGAUAAACAUGGAAACGUAGUUGAGUUAAAGCUAGCUGAUUUUGGAUUAGCUUGUGAGGUAAAGGAACUUCUGUAUGCCGUCUGUGGUACACCUACUUAUGUCGCACCAGAAAUAUUGUUAGAGGCCGGAUAUGGCUUAAAGAUCGAUGUGUGGGCUGCUGGUAUCAUUUUGUAUAUACUGCUGUGCGGGUUUCCACCUUUUGUAGCGCCUGACAACCAGCAGGAACCACUGUUCGACGCCAUUAUCUCUGGAAUUUACGAGUUUCCCGACCCGUACUGGUCGGAUGUAGGCGAUGGUGUCCGAGAUCUAAUAGCCAAUAUGCUGCAGUCGGAUCCGGAUGUUCGCUUUACAAGCGAAGACAUUCUUGAUCACUUUUGGACUAUGGAAAGUGAUGGGGACAAAUCCUAGCUUUGCAGGACCGAUUAAUAAAUCCCCUCCACAACUUACAAGAUUUUAUCCCCGAGAACGCUAUACGACAGGAACUAAACUUGACCAUCGAACAAUUUUGGCGAAAACGAACACAAGCAUUUCAUAAAUUCCAAUAUUCAAACCGUUAAACCGUUUUGAUUUAGAAAUUGUAUUACACUGUAAUUUAUUUAUUUGUAUACAUUAAAUUGUUUUUACGCUAAA